GCACAUGCUCACAACAUAAUGUCAAUGCACUGGAUCCCAUUAGAACUGCACUGUUAAGCAUCCACGAGAUAGAGUAGUAUUUGGAUGGGUGAUUGCCCGGGAAUUUCUAGUGUUUUACAUGCU
rnacentral:rRNA from 1 species